CAUUGAUUUGCGGUGAUGGUUGUGUAAGUGUGGAAACCCUAGAAACCAUUGUAUGCCUUAAACCAUGGUUUUGUAUCUCAGUAAAGCUAUUAUGAAAAUUUGAAAAGUGGUGAUGAUUUUGUCAAAAAGAAAAAGAAAGAAAGGAAGGAAGCUCUCAGGCUGCAUCUAUCUGCCGUGUUUUAGCACUGGGCCAGGGAGCAGCAGUGGUGUGUUUUUGUGUUUUUCUCUCCUGGAGCAAUAACACCGUUGCACAGCAUGUGUGUGUGUGUGUGUGUGUGUGUGUGUGUGUGUGUGACUUCCUUUACCUGUAACCCCAGCUUCACUGACCCUGGCUUGCUGGAUUCCAGGAUCUGCCCAGUCUCGCUCAGCACCCUGGUGGCUUCACCUGGCAGGGACCCCUCGUGUCCGCCUGGAGCAGCAGUCUGGCCCCACAGAGCAGCUCCAAUGACACUGCGCCUCCUGCUUCCCAAGUGAGCCUUGAGACCUGAUUGCCACGGCUGCCUCCUGCCUGUGUCUCACCCGCUGACCCUGCUGUCCACUGUUGGGGGUCAGCUAUGAUAUGGACAGAUUGCUGGGGGUCAGGAAACAGGCCCCUCGCAGUCCCAAGGAACCCAGGGGUCUUACUGGCACCCGACAGUCCCUGACCAUCAGGGCAGAUGUGUUUCCUCUCAUGACCCGAACCGUGGUGAUCAGCAGGGCCUCGGGCAGCUCCCCCCACCCCACCCACUCACUGUGUGACAUGUUGGGAAUUGCACAUGGCAACUAAUCAGCGACAACAAGAGGACGUGAGGAUCUUGAGAUGUGCAGAAUGAAAAGAUCUCGUGACUAGUAGGAUGUGGUGGUGCAUACCCAUCAGUCUAGCACUCAGGAGGCUGAGGCAGGAGGAUCACCAUGAAUUGGAGGCCACCCUGGGCUACAUAGUGAGUUCAAGUUCAGCCUGAACUACAUAGGAGACCCUGUCUCAAAAAACUAAAAAGAAAAGCACCUCAGGACUAGGUGAUCUGCCCCAGGUCAGCCUCCCAGGAAGGGAGCUCCAGCUGCCACCUCCAACCAGCUGGCCAAUCACUGCCCUUCCUUCCUCUGCAGCCUCCCACGGGGUGGCAAGCAGACGGAUCCAAGUGUGGCACCAGCGCUGUACCCGCUCUGUCCUCAUGCUGCUGUGCUCCGCUGCUCGUAAGUCUCCCCACCUGUGCCGAGAACACUGGGGAACCAAGACGAGCCCCUCCCUCUCUAAAGGGAAAAGGCAGGCACAGAGGAACCAAGAUAUUCAUUUAGGGAAACAGGAAAGGGCUAGAAAUUUAGCUGGGUCAGAAGUUGAAUGAUAAUCAACAAGGCUUUGUUUUUAAAUAAAAUGUUUUAAUAAAAUACUGCCCACAUGUUGUUUUUUCAAGGGUGUUAGGGUGGUUGGUGUGAAUGACAAUAUACGAUAGUCUACAUCAUCAGUAGCAAAAACAAGGAGUCUCGAAUAAAUAGGCUUCGGUGU